UGGUAGUAGGAGCGUAGCAUCAUGAACAUCAUCGGGGCAUUUUUCUUUUAUUGCAGUUUGGUGACCCAAGGGCUAAGUACGAGUUGAUAUAUACCAUUUUUUCUUUUGGAGAGACAACGCUCCCCCAUCAAAUUUAUUAGAAGUUGUGUAAAAGUACAAGACUGAUUGUUUUGAUAGAUUGAUGUUUGACAAUUAGGAUGGG
rnacentral:lncRNA from 1 species